rnacentral:lncRNA from 1 species
UUGUAAUAAUAACCCAAAGGUGGAAAUAAAUCCAAAUGCUCAUCAACUGGGGAACAGAGAGAUAAUCAAAAGGAACAGACUGCAGAAACAGCGUGGUUGAAUCUCACAAAUAUUGGGUCUGGUGUAAAAAAUCCAGACACAAAUGAGUCUAUGAUGUGAGUUUCCAUUUACAUGAAGUUCAAAAAUAGGUAAAAUUGAUUUAUGUAGUAGUUAGAAUAGUGGUUAUCUUAGGAGAUUAUCUAUCUGCCUAUGAUGUGCAGUACAAAGGGGCCAGUUUGGAGCCUGGGAACGUUCUUUAUCUUGUUCUGGGUGCUGGUUAUAUGGGUGUAUACAUAAAAAUUUGAGUUACCCACUUCAGAAAAGUUGCUGUUCUUGAAGUUCUGUUUGUACUAUGAAAGAUGUUUAAGAUCUUGAAGAAAUACGUAUCUUUAUUGUUCUGUCAUGUUACUUAAAUAAGGGAAAAAUAAUCCUAUGCAAUUCAGUCAUUGUGGAAGAAAAUUUAACUACAGUUUCAUUACUUCUAACUGCUAAAAGUCUUAUUAUUAAAGUAUAACAUGUUGAAGCAAUUUCCCAUUAGGAGAUAAAAACAUAAGCCUAAUUCUAAUGAUGAAUCCACCUAUUACCCUAUUUGAUUUUAGGUGAUAGCUAAAUAUUUGUUCAAGUAUUUUAUUCUUGAAGUCCAGAGUGGGCUACAGGAAGUUAGGUGCAGCAUUUAACCAGCUUGGGUCUGUUACUUUAUGCUGAAGGAGCAAGUGAAGGAACUUUUGAGAAAUGAAGUGCCAGUGUUUUUACAACGACUUGUUCGCCAUUAAAAAAGAAAGAAAGAAAAGAAAAGAAACCUAUUCCUUUUAAAGAAUGCAAGUCUGGCCAAACAUCAGGAUGUUGCUACAUUGAGAAAACAAUCAGAGAUAAAGCCACAACAAAGUUUCUUUGAUCCCAGAAUGUCAAGGAACUGAAUGAGAAUAAGGCCUGAGACAUGACCAGGCACAGGGGAGAGGAAGCAUCAUCAGAGAAGAAGAAAGUUUUUUGUUUUUUUUUUUUUUUUUUUUUUUAAUUUCUUGAGCUUGUGCUAAUAAGCUAUACCUAGAAAUGCUGAUUUUAUCAGAAGGUUUGGAAACAAAUUUAUUCAGUGAAUGUUUAUUGAGCCCUUAUUAUGUACCCAGUUCAAUUGUAGGCAUUUGAGAUAACAGCACCAAACAGAAGAGACAAAACGUAUUGCCCUUAUAGAACAUAUAUUCUGAAGGGAGGGUUGUGAACAUGAAUUCAUACACAUGUUAUCAUGUUGCAGGUUGCUAUGUUUCUUAUUUGGCCAUGUAUUAACUAAAUAUAUGUUCUGGAACUUCUGGAUUAAUGCUACUGCCAAAGCCCCAUUUCCCUCUAAUGAGAUCCUCCUCAGUACUUUAAUAAUAAAGUCUUAUGUAUGAAUCAAGUUUGAUCUGUCUUGAUAAGAGGUAGAGAAUAGAAUAAGAAAUAGAUCCAAGUCAUAUGGGUACUUAGGACAGUGGUAUAUCUUACAGAAAGGAGUAAUGGUAUUGGAUCCUAAAGUCAGUGUAGAUGAGAGAUGAAAUUAGUAAGUAGAGAAAAAUAGUAGAAAGAAUAAAAACCAGAGUUCCCGUUGUGGCUCAGUGGUAAUGAACCUGACUAAUAUCCAUGACGAUGUGGGUUCGAUCCCUGGCCUCAAUCAGUGGGGUUAAGGAUCUGGCGUUGCCAUGAGCUGUGGUGUAGGUUGCAGACAUGGCUCAGAUCCAGCAUUGCUGUGGCUUUGGUGUAGCUGUGGUUACAGAGCUGUGGUUGCAGCUCUAAGUUGACCCUUAGCCUGGGAACUUCCAUAUGCCUCAUGUAAGGCCCUAAAAAGACAACAAAAAAA